GUCUGCAGAUAUACCACACUGAGAGACACUGAUCUCCUCUUAGAAGGUAAGCAGGGUUGGAUCUGGUUAGUACUUGCUGGAAAACUGGAUUCCUUUAACU
rnacentral:rRNA from 1 species